rnacentral:rRNA from 1 species
GAUGAACGCUAGCUACAGGCUUAACACAUGCAAGUCGAGGGGAAACGACAUCGAAAGCUUGCUUUUGAUGGGCGUCGACCGGCGCACGGGUGAGUAACGCGUAUCCAACCUGCCCAUCACUUGGGAAUAACCUUGCGAAAGUAAGACUAAUACCCAAUGAUAUCCCACGAAGGCAUCGGAAUGGGAUUAAAGAUUUAUCGGUGAUGGAUGGGGAUGCGUCUGAUUAGCUUGUUGGCGGGGUAACGGCCCACCAAGGCAACGAUCAGUAGGGGUUCUGAGAGGAAGGUCCCCCACAUUGGAACUGAGACACGGUCCAAACUCCUACGGGAGGCAGCAGUGAGGAAUAUUGGUCAAUGGGCGAGAGCCUGAACCAGCCAAGUAGCGUGCAGGAAGGCGGCCCUAUGGGUUGUAAACUGCUUUUAUAAGGGAAUAAAGUGGGUCACGUGUGACUUUUUGCAUGUACCUUAUGAAUAAGGACCGGCUAAUUCCGUG